AUUGAACGCUGGCGGCAGGCCUAACACAUGCAAGUCGAACGAGUGGCGGACGGGUGAGUAAUGUCUGGGAAACUGCCCGAUGGAGGGGGAUAACUACUGGAAACGGUAUCUCUUACCGCAUACCAUCGGAUGUGCCCAGAUGGGAUUUGCUCGUAGGUGAGGUAACGGCUCACCUAGGCGACGAUCCCUAGCUGGUCUGAGAGGAUGACCAGCCACACUGGAACUGAGACACGGUCCAGACUCCUACGGGAGGCAGCAGUGGGGAAUAUUGGACAAUGGGCGAAAGCCUGAUCCAGCCAUGCCGCGUGUGUGAAGAAGGUCUUCGGAUUGUAAAGCACUUUAAGUUGGGAGGCGUUACCAACAGAAUAAGCACCGGCUAACUUCGUGCCAGCAGCCGCGGUAAUUC
rnacentral:rRNA from 1 species